AAUGGGCGCAAGCCUGAUCCAGCAAUGCCGCGUGGGUGAAGAAGGCCUGCGGGUUGUAAAGCCCUUUAAGUGGGGAGGAAAGACUAGGUGUAAACAGCGCUUGGUUUUGACGUUACCCACAGAAUAAGCACCGGCUAACUCCGUGCCAGCAGCCGCGGUAAUACGGGGGGUGCAAGCGUUAAUCGGAAUUACUGGGCGUAAAGCGUGCGUAGGCGGUUUGAUCAGUCAGCCGUGAAAGCCCCGGGCCUAACCUGGGAACGGCGGUUGAGACGGUCAGACUCGAGUGGGCUAGAGGAUUGUGGAAUUCCGGGUGUAGCGGUGAAAUGCGUAGAGAUCCGGAGGAACACCGAUGGCGAAGGCAGCAGUCUGGGGCCACACUGACGCUGAGGCACGAAAGCGUGGGGAGCAAA
rnacentral:rRNA from 1 species